CUGUGCUAGGUGGGGAGCUAGCGGUGCCCUGUACCUACAAUCCGCUACAGUAGGACCGAAUGCCCUUGGCGGCGGUCAUGUGGGAAGUCUGACUUUGAUAAGGAGCGUUGAUAUCAAGGUCCCAUCCAAUGUAAAUCUGUGAACCAUGUCAGGCCCGAAGGGGAGCAGCAUUAAGCGGACAAUUACAUGUGCCAUGGGGAAGCUUUGAAGGAGCCGCCUGUUAUUUGUAACGUUUCGGCAGGACUGGUCAAGAAGGGAUGCACAG
rnacentral:SRP_RNA from 1 species